GUUUAGUUCCACAGCAAAACCAGUAUCUGUUAUGGGAACAAAUAGUAGGCAAGGUGCUGGCAGAGGAAAUAGAUGGAAAACAGACUCACCUGAGGUGGAAAAAAUUCAAGAUUGAGUGGAAGCCAAUCAGCCAAGCCUCAGAGGACGAGGAGUUGCGGAUUGGAGAAUGUCUUUGGUCAUUUCUCAUCUCUCUAACCUCUGUUCCCUGCUUACCAUAGUUGCCCUUUUGUGCUGGACACAUUACAGAGUCUGAAAUAUUAAACACAUCCAUUUGAAACAA